rnacentral:lncRNA from 10 species
AGCCAGGACCACAGGCACGCACCCUGAGGAGGAAGAAAUACCAGGUGCGCAUGCUCCAAGAAAAAGCCAUCUGAGGACGCGGCAAGAAGGCCGCCAUCUACAAGCCAAGGAGAGGGGCCUCAGGAGAAAUCGAACCUGUCACACCUUGAUCUUGGACUUCCAGCCUUCAGAACUGUGAGAAAGUAAAUUUCUGUGUUCAAGCUACCAGGUCUGUGGGAUUUUUUAUGGCAGCCCUAGCAGACUAAGACAGGCAUCAAUGGUUCCAAUGUUUUCAUUUUUUUUCCGG